rnacentral:lncRNA from 1 species
CGGGCUAUGUCCCGAAGGCAUUUGAACGAGGAGCUAUAUCCGGUUAAAUCCCGAAGGUACGUGAUUUGGUAAUGAAUGAGCUUGCUGUAAAAUUCCAGCGAAUACUCGAAAAACAUCCCAAUAUGGGGAUAUGUUACGUAUGUGUUAAAUUUAAUCGAGCCCUUACAAAUAAAUGUUCGCUCAGUUGAUAAACGAGCUACCGGCCUUCGGCCAAGUUAGUUUAUUGUGUAUGUACAUAAGGGUUGUUAAUGUUGUGAAGCAAGUUUGAUAUCGGUAAAUUGCGUAUUAUGAAAUAUUCCGUUUAGCUAAAUGUGUGCUAUUCUUUGUGCAUGCUGG